rnacentral:rRNA from 1 species
UACGAAGGGGGCUAGCGUUGCUCGGAAUUACUGGGCGUAAAGCGCACGUAGGCGGCUUUCUAAGUCGGGGUGAAAUCCUGGAGCUCAACUCCAGAACUGCCUUCGAUACUGAGAGCUCGAGUCCGGGAGAGGUGAGUGGAACUGCGAGUGUAGAGGUGAAAUUCGUAGAUAUUCGCAAGAACACCAGUGGCGAAGGCGGCUCACUGGCCCGGUACUGACGCUGAGGUGCGAAAGCGUGGGAGCA